rnacentral:rRNA from 1 species
UAACCACUGGAAACGGUGGCUAAUACCGCAUAACGUCGCAAGACCAAAGAGGGGGACCUUCGGGCCUCUCACUAUCGGAUGAACCCAGAUGGGAUUAGCUAGUAGGCGGGGUAAUGGCCCACCUAGGCGACGAUCCCUAGCUGGUCUGAGAGGAUGACCAGCCACACUGGAACUGAGACACGGUCCAGACUCCUACGGGAGGCAGCAGUGGGGAAUAUUGCACAAUGGGCGCAAGCCUGAUGCAGCCAUGCCGCGUGUAUGAAGAAGGCCUUCGGGUUGUAAAGUACUUUCAGCGGGGAGGAAGGCGAU